AAGGGAGCUUGCUCCCGGAUGUUAGCGGCGGACGGGUGAGUAGCACGUGGGUAACCUGCCUGUAGGACUGGGAUAACUCCGGGAAACCGGAGCUAAUACCGGAUAGUUCCUUGAACCGCAUGGUUCAAGGAUGAAAGACGGUUUCGGCUGUCACUUACAGAUGGACCCGCGGCGCAUUAGCUAGUUGGUGAGGUAACGGCUCACCAAGGCGACGAUGCGUAGCCGACCUGAGAGGGUGAUCGGCCACACUGGGACUGAAACCCGGCCCAAACUCCUACGGGAGGCAACAGUACGGAAUCUUCCGCAAUGGACGAAAGUCUGACGGAGCAACGCCGCGUGAGUGAUGAAGGUUUUCGGAUCGUAAAGCUCUGUUGUUAGGGAAGAACAAGUGCAAGAGUAACUGCUUGCACCUUGACAGUACCUAACCAGAAAGCCACGGCUAACUACGUGCCAGCAGCCGCGGUAAUACGUAGGUGGCAAGCGUUGUCCGGAAUUAUUGGGCGUAAAGGGCUCGCAGGCGGUUUCUUAAGUCUGAUGUGAAAGCCCCCGGCUCAACCGGGGAGGGUCAUUGGAAACUGGGAAACUUGAGUGCAGAAAAUGACAGUGGAAUUCCACGUGUACCGGUGAAAUGCGUAGAGAUGUGGAGGAACACCAGUUGGCGAAGGCGAAUCUCUGGUCUGUAACUGACGCUGAGGAGCGAAA
rnacentral:rRNA from 1 species